AGAAAGUUUAAGGCAUGUUGUGUUUCAUCUUUCCUCCUUUCUUCUCUUCGUAGCUGCUGUCCCAGCUGAGAAGUAGGGAGUGGGAUGACACCAUAGAGCACUGGCAGUCUGCCUCUUCAAACACGCUGAGCACUUUCUGUUAGAAACCACCUUCGUUGUUUCUUGUUCUGUCUGCUGGGCUGUGCCGUGUGCUGUUACAACAUUGCCUUGUCUCAGCAGUGAAGCCCUUUCAUUUAGCCAAGGAUAAAAUAGCCCGUACUUAAGAGUACAGCUUGACUCAGCCUGGAAAGAAAGAUUAAAGCAACCGCUAUACCUAACCACUCUGCCUUGGUCUGAUAAGAUGCCAGAAUUACAUGACUUCUACUGUGUAACAAGGUGCAAGGCAUGUAUUACCAAGGACCCCGAACACAUCACCGGUGUGAGAUCUGAAGGAUUUGCUGGGCAAUGGGCUCUGGGGAUGCAGCUGGGAACGCAGAGGAAGAUCUUCACGGACAGGCAGACUCUGUGGCUGUGGGUCAGCCAUGCCCCGUACGGAGGUGACACGAGGAUCUGCACUCCCUGCGAC